rnacentral:tRNA from 1 species
GUUCCUAUAGUUAAAUGUUCAUUAACGGCGGCUUUUCAGGCCGCAGAUCCUAGAGAAAAGCUGGGUGGGAAUA